CUACGGGGCGCACCAGCUAUGAAUUUUUUACAAUGCACGCAAGUGUGAUAGGGCGAACCAAAGUGCUUAACAUUUUGUUAAGCUUUUGUCUACUGUAAAUAUGUAGAUGAAUAAGGACUGGGAAAGACUGGUGCCAGCCGCCGCGGUAAUACCAGCAGUUCUAGUUGCAACCAACAUUAUUGGGUCUAAAACAUCCGUAGCUUGCCGGGUAAGUUUCUUGUGAAAUUCUGUAUCUCAAAUACAGAGCGUGCAAGAAAUGCUGCCCGGCUAGAGACCGGUAGGUGUAAGAAGUACGCAAGAGGUAGUGGUAAAAUACGUUAAUCUUUUGUGGACUAACAAUUAGCGAAGGCAUCUUACAAGGACGGAUCUGACAGUGAGGGAUGAAGGCCAGGGGCGCAAAACGGAUUAGAUACCCUAGUAGUC
rnacentral:rRNA from 1 species